GAUGGGAGCUUGCUCCCUGAUGUUAGCGGCGGACGGGUGAGUAACACGUGGGUAACCUGCCUGUAAGACUGGGAUAACUCCGGGAAACCGGGGCUAAUACCGGAUGGUUGUCUGAACCGCAUGGUUCAGACAUAAAAGGUGGCUUCGGCUACCACUUACAGAUGGACCCGCGGCGCAUUAGCUAGUUGGUGAGGUAACGGCUCACCAAGGCGACGAUGCGUAGCCGACCUGAGAGGGUGAUCGGCCACACUGGGACUGAGACACGGCCCAGACUCCUACGGGAGGCAGCAGUAGGGAAUCUUCCGCAAUGGACGAAAGUCUGACGGAGCAACGCCGCGUGAGUGAUGAAGGUUUUCGGAUCGUAAAGCUCUGUUGUUAGGGAAGAACAAGUGCCGUUCAAAUAGGGCGGCACCUUGACGGUACCUAACCAGAAAGCCACGGCUAACUACGUGCCAGCAGCCGCGGUAAUACGUAGGUGGCAAGCGUUGUCCGGAAUUAUUGGGCGUAAAGGGCUCGCAGGCGGUUUCUUAAGUCUGAUGUGAAAGCCCCCGGCUCAACCGGGGAGGGUCAUUGGAAACUGGGGAACUUGAGUGCAGAAGAGGAGAGUGGAAUUCCACGUGUAGCGGUGAAAUGCGUAGAGAUGUGGAGGAACACCAGUGGCGAAGGCGACUCUCUGGUCUGUAACUGACGCUGAGGAGCGAAAGCGUGGGGAGCGAACAGGAUUAGAUACCCUGGUAGUCCACGCCGUAAACGAUGAGUGCUAAGUGUUAGGGGGUUUCCGCCCCUUAGUGCUGCAGCUAACGCAUUAAGCACUCCGCCUGGGGAGUACGGUCGCAAGACUGAAACUCAAAGGAAUUGAC
rnacentral:rRNA from 1 species